GACGAACGCUGGCGGCGUGCUUAACACAUGCAAGUCGAACGCUGAAGCUUGGUGCUUGCACUGGGUGGAUGAGUGGCGAACGGGUGAGUAAUACGUGAGUAACCUGCCCUUGACUCUGGGAUAAGCCUGGGAAACUGGGUCUAAUACUGGAUAUGACAUGCCACUGCAUGGUGGUGUGUGGAAAGGGUUUUACUGGUUUUGGAUGGGCUCACGGCCUAUCAGCUUGUUGGUGGGGUAAUGGCCUACCAAGGCGACGACGGGUAGCUGGCCUGAGAGGGUGACCGGCCACACUGGGACUGAGACAGGGCCCAGACUCCUACGGGAGGCAGCAGUGGGGAAUAUUGCACAAUGGGCGGAAGCCUGAUGCAGCGACGCCGCGUGAGGGAUGACGGCCUUCGGGUUGUAAACCUCUUUCAGCACGGAAGAAGCGAGAGUGACGGUACGUGCAGAAGAAGCGCCGGCUAACUACGUG
rnacentral:rRNA from 1 species